UGAAAUAAAAUUAAUGAAGAAGUCGAUGAAUAUAUACUUGAACGUGUCCUUUAUAGUGGUUCCAUAUUUGUUGUUUCUUUGUUUCCUGUGUGUGUUCUCCGACA
rnacentral:ribozyme from 17 species